CCUACGGGAGGCAGCAGUGGGGAAUAUUGCACAAUGGGCGAAAGCCUGAUGCAGCAACGCCGCGUGAACGAUGAAGGUCUUCGGAUCGUAAAGUUCUGUCGCAGGGGAAGAUAAUGACGGUACCCUGUGAGGAAGCACCGGCUAACUACGUGCCAGCAGCCGCGGUAAUAAU
rnacentral:rRNA from 1 species